GUGAGCUCUGUGAUAGAUAACACUCCCAUACACUUUAAAUCUGGGUGAAGCAGAACUCAGAAAAGGAUGAUGUUAGGACAUUGUAUUUUAUUUGUGCUAAUUUCAUAUUCUUAUGGACAGUCCCUGACCUCCUCGGCUUCUGUGGUGAAGAGACCUGGAGAGUCAGUCACUCUGUCCUGUACUGUCUCCGGAUUCUCAAUGGGCAGCUACUACAUGAACUGGAUCCGUCAGAAACCAGGAAGAGGACUGGAGUGGAUUGGAUACAUUGACACUGGCACUGGCACUGGCUUUGCCCAGUCUCUGCAGGGCCAGUUUUCCAUCACUAAAGACACCAAUAAAAACAUGCUGUACCUAGAAGUGAAGAGUCUGAAAGCUGAAGACACGGCUGUUUAUUACUGUGCACGAGACUCACACUGACACAACAGACUCCAGAGCUGUACAAAAACUUACACAAUAACGUCCUCAUGAGAUGUAAAUAUUCCCUCAGCAGGAAACUGAACCCGAGAGACUUUUAUUAUAAACAUCAUCCAUUCACACUCAGCACUCAGAUUUUACUUCUUCAUUUCAAAUUUAAAAGUAAAUGUCUCAGGUUUUUUCUAGUAAUUAUUAAUAAUCCCCAUGUGUUAUAUAUCACACCAAAGAAAUCUAAGAAAGUGUAAAAAGUAUGACAUGUCCCACUCUACCCUAUGCAGUUACAGUAUGUUUAUAUUACUCAGCAAAUUAAUGAUAAGAUAAAUGUAAAGGUUAAGCGAACAUAGCUGUGUCUUCCAUCUGCACAUUCUGAUGCUGGAGAAUCACUGUGUCACUGGAGGUGUCCUGAUUAAUGCUGAAUCUGUUUUUCAGUGAAUCUGUACACCCUGUGCUUCCACUGUGCUUAUAAUUUUUUACAAU